UACGGGGGGAGCAAGCGUUGUUCGGAUUUACUGGGCGUAAAGGGCGCGUAGGCGGCCACCGCAAGUCGACUGUGAAAUCUCCGGGCUUAACUCGGAAAGGUCAGCCGAUACUGCGGGGCUAGAGUGCAGAAGGGGCAACUGGAAUUCUCGGUGUAGCGGUGAAAUGCGUAGAUAUCAGGAGGAACACCGGUGGCGAAGGCGGUUCUCUGGGCCUUACCUAACGCUGAGGAGCGAAAGCAUGGGGAGCAAACAGG
rnacentral:rRNA from 1 species